GUGGCCUUCACAGCGAGAGCAGCGUGCGAAGGAGUCAGGAUGUAUGCGACUUGCGGCGCUUCAUUCAAACGCCGCCCGCUGGGACUGUGAUUCGCAGGGACUCGGCCUCCAUAUGGUAAUUUUUAGCAUGGCAGGAGGCGGAGGUGUGUGCGGGGUGCGUCUCUCCCUCUCCUUCUCUGUGUAUGUUGGGGGAGUGGGCUCAUGACUGGAGAGCGAGCCAAGCUCGGACAGAGCAGGGACAGCGAAAGGCGCUCAGCACUGCUUUUGCAGCGCUGGCACUCGACCCAGAAUAAGCUGGAACCUUCGAGCGUGCAAUCCGCGGCGAAAGAGCAAGGAGGGCAGCAAGGCACCGCGGAGACCUCGAUCCAGACAUCAAGCGAUAAUCAGAUGGAGUGAUAGUCAUCCAAAAAGGUAAUUUUUAUUUGGAAACAAACCUAAUGAUAAAACAAUGUA
rnacentral:lncRNA from 1 species